rnacentral:pre_miRNA from 1 species
AGCCUUGAUUGUCCAAACGCAAUUCUUGUAAAUUUUAUUCCAAGAUUUGUGUAUGGACAUCACCGCUU